rnacentral:rRNA from 1 species
ACGCUCGACACCUACGUGAGGCAGCAGUGGGGAAUAUUGCACAAUGGGGGAAACCCUGAUGCAGCGACGCCGCGUGAGCGAAGAAGUAUUUCGGUAUGUAAAGCUCUAUCAGCAGGGAAGAAACUGACGGUACCUGACUAAGAAGCACCGGCUAAAUACGUGCCAACAGCCGCGGUAAUCUGAGCGGGCUGGCAAGGC